rnacentral:rRNA from 1 species
AUUGAACGCUGGCGGCAUGCCUUACACAUGCAAGUCGAACGGUAACAGGUCUUCGGAUGCUGACGAGUGGCGAACGGGUGAGGAAUACAUCGGAACGUGCCCGAUCGUGGGGGAUAACGAAGCGAAAGCUUUGCUAAUACCGCAUACGAUCUACGGAUGAAAGCAGGGGACCGCAAGCCCUUGCGCGAGCGGAGCGGCCGAUGGCAGAUUAGGUAGUUGGUGGGAUAAAAGCUUACCAAGCCGACGAUCUGUAGCUGGUCUGAGAGGACGACCAGCCACACUGGGACUGAGACACGGCCCAGACUCCUACGGGAGGCAGCAGUGGGGAAUUUUGGACAAUGGGCGAAAGCCUGAUCCAGCCAUGCCGCGUGCAGGAUGAAGGCCUUCGGGUUGUAAACUGCUUUUGUACGGAACGAAAAGACUCUGGUUAAUACCUGGGGUCCAUGACGGUACCGUAAGAAUAAGCACCGGCUAACUACGUGCCAGCCGCCGCCGUAAGAC